rnacentral:rRNA from 1 species
CCUACGGGUGGCAGCAGUCGAGAAUCAUUCACAAUGGGGGAAACCCUGAUGGUGUGACGCCGCGUGGGGGAAUGAAGGUCUUCGGAUUGUAAACCCCUGUCUUGUGGGAGCAAAUUCAAAAGAUAGUACAUCAAGAGGUAGAGGCGGCUAACUCGGUGACAGCAGCCGCGGUAAUACCGAGGUCUCAAGCGAUGUCGGGAAUCACUGGGCGUAAAGCGGGCGUAGGCUGGUUCGUAAGUCGUGUGCGAAAGUCCCGGGCUCAACCGGCGGACGGCACAUGAUACUGCGAGACUCGAGUUAAGGAGAGGGAAGUGGAAUUCGCGGUGUAGCAGUGAAAUGCGUAGAUA